CAUUCAGUUAACAAGAACUUGAAAUAAAAAGGCAUUCAAGAUGAAAUAGCUUCUGAAAGCCCAACACCACGUCAGGAGCUGGAGGGUCCGAUUCAGAUCAUCUUCAGAUAUGUCCACUAACAAUGGAUACAUAAAGGCAAGAAUCAGAGGUUCGGAAACGUCCAUGGCACCUUCCAAACACAAACAGAAUGCAACAGCUACUGAAUGCUACACAGUCAAAGGAAAAAUUUGUCCUAAAAGUCUGAUAAUUAUGUAAAGACAAAUGUACAAUGGGGCAGGGAUUUAUUUACCUGUGUGACUACCAUUGGUGUUUUAGGCCUGGUAGGUGACAAAGCAGAAUUUAGGCAUUGCUUCCUGGUGUUAUUUCAACUGAGUCUUACCUGCCAGGGUAUUGAAAAUUUGUAUGGAAAGGUCUGAGUUUGAAAAAUGGAGGAUUACAGCCUGCCAAUUAAUUCUCUAAAAUGUGUAGUAAAAACCUCAAAAAUCAA